GACGAACGCUGGCGGCGUGCCUAAUACAUGCAAGUAGAACGCACAGUUUAUACCGUAGCUUGCUACACCAUAGACUGUGAGUUGCGAACGGGUGAGUAACGCGUAGGUAACCUGCCUGGUAGCGGGGGAUAACUAUUGGAAACGAUAGCUAAUACCGCAUAAUAUUAAUUAUUGCAUGAUAAUUAAUUGAAAGGUGCAAUUGCACCACUACCAGAUGGACCUGCGUUGUAUUAGCUAGUAGGUGAGGUAACGGCUCACCUAGGCGACGAUACAUAGCCGACCUGAGAGGGUGGUCGGCCACACUGGGACUGAGACACGGCCCAGACUCCUACGGGAGGCAGCAGUAGGGAAUCGUCGGCAAUGGACGAAAGUCUGACCGAGCAACGCCGCGUGAGUGAAGAAGGUUGUCGGAUCGUAAAGCUCUGUUGUAAGAGAAGAACGGGUGUGAGAGUGGAAAGUUCACACUGUGACGGUAUCUUACCAGAAAGGGACGGCUAACUACGUG
rnacentral:rRNA from 1 species